GACGAACGCUGGCGGCGUGCUUAACACAUGCAAGUCGAACGGAAAGGCCUGCUUUCCCUUGUGGAUUGCGGGUACUCGAGUGGCGAACGGGUGAGUAACACGUGAGUGAUCUGCCCCCAACUUGGGUAUAAGCCUGGGAAACUGGGUCUAAUUCCCGAUAGGACUGCAGGGUGGUGCCUGUGGUGGAAAACGAUUUUCUAGUGGUUGGGGGUGAGCUCGCGGCCUAUCAGCUUGUUGGUGGGGUAAUGGCCUACCAAGGCGGCGACGGGUAGCCGGCCUGAGAGGGUGGACGGCCACAUUGGGACUGAGAUACGGCCCAGGCUCCUACGGGAGGCAGCAGUGGGGAAUAUUGCACAAUGGGCGGAAGCCUGAUGCAGCGACGCCGCGUGGGGGAUGACGGCCUUCGGGUUGUAAACUCCUUUCGACCGCGAGGAAGCCACCUGGUUGGAAGGGUGGUGACGGUAGUGGUAGAAGAAGCACCGGCUAACUACGUG
rnacentral:rRNA from 1 species